UUGUCCAUGGCUCAGCCAGUAGAGCACGAGACUCUUAAUCUCAGGGUCAAGAGUUCAAGCUCCACAUUGGGCAAA